rnacentral:rRNA from 1 species
GUGGGGAAUAUUGGACAAUGGGGGGAACCCUGAUCCAGCCAUGCCGCGUGUGUGAAGAAGGCCUUUUGGUUGUAAAGCACUUUAAGCGAGGAGGAGGCUACCGAGAUUAAUACUCUUGGAUAGUGGACGUUACUCACAGAAUAAGCACCGGCUAACUCUGUGCCAGCAGCCGCGGUAAUACAGAGGGUGCAAGCGUUAAUCGGAUUUACUGGGCGUAAAGCGCGCGUAGGUGGCCAAUUAAGUCAAAUGUGAAAUCCCCGAGCUUAACUUGGGAAUUGCAUUCGAUACUGGUUGGCUAGAGUAUGGGAGAGGAUGGUAGAAUUCCAGGUGUAGCGGUGAAAUGCGUAGAGAUCUGGAGGAAUACCGAUGGCGAAGGCAGCCAUCUGGCCUAAUACUGACACUGAGGUGCGAAAGCAUGGGGAGUAAACAGGAUUAGAUACCCCGGUAGUCC